CUCAAAGGAGACGUCUGGAGCACUGGAGAGAGAGGAAGAGGGAUAGAGAGAGAAACACACCUCCAUCCCAUCUUUCCCUCUUUUUUCAUCUGCCUGCCCCUCCGUUAUAUUAGUCCCUCCCUCACCUCACCACCUUGCCUGCUCAGAGCUGCCGGGAGAUGGGUUGUGGGAAUUCCACGGCGACCAGCGCUGCAGGAGGAGGAGGUCCAGCUGAGGAUUCAAAGGAUGUCACAGAAGAGGGCUCCCCCGAUGAGGAGAAAAGGAGGAACUACGGGGGCGUGUAUGUUGGUCUGCCAGCUGAUCUUAGCAAUGUGAACGCAGGACAAUCUACAUCUACACACAAAGAUUAAAGAAGAACACAACUCAUGUCUCGUGAUAAGGUUAGUUACCCUGACUGGCAGUGUCCUCACUAAACACUUCUGAAAGAUUAACGCCAUUGUGACUUGGGGUGUGAGGUGAAAUUUUAAAUAUGCAGAAUAAAUAUACUCAUUUAGGG
rnacentral:lncRNA from 1 species